GACGAACGCUGGCGGCGUGCUUAACACAUGCAAGUCGAACGAUGAAAGAGGAGCUUGCUCCUCUGGAUUAGUGGCGAACGGGUGAGUAACACGUGAGUAAUCUGCCCCUGACUCCGGAAUAACUACGGGAAACUGUAGCUAAUACCGGAUAGGCGCCGAACAUGCAUGUGGAGGGGUGGGAAAGUAUGUCGGUCAGGGAUGGGCUCGCGGCCUAUCAGCUUGUUGGUGAGGUAACGGCUCACCAAGGCGAUGACGGGUAGCCGGCCUGAGAGGGUGACCGGCCACAUUGGGACUGAGACACGGCCCAGACUCCUACGGGAGGCAGCAGUGGGGAAUAUUGCACAAUGGGCGGAAGCCUGAUGCAGCAACGCCGCGUGAGGGAUGACGGCCUUCGGGUUGUAAACCUCUUUUGGCAGGGAAGAAGCGAGAGUGACGGUACCUGCAAAAAAAGCGCCGGCUAACUACGUG
rnacentral:rRNA from 1 species